AGACAGCCUCAAUCUUCCUAUCCUAUUUUCUCUCACUCCAUCUCAAGUCAGGCACGGUGACUUGACGAGGCCCAUCUAAGCACACUACAGCACCGGGCGAGGCGGCUAGGCCCCCUCACCGUCCACCGGCGACUGGGCCGGCCGUCGCUGCCGCCCUGCCUCUCCACCGUCGCCGGCGACGAGCACCACUAGGUAUGCCCUCCCCUUGGUCUCCCUUUCCUGCUGUGCGGAGCCGUGCGCGGUGCGCCCAAACCUUAACGUGAUCCGUAGGGACGCCCUCUCCUUAGUCUUCCCUUACCUGAUGUGCGAAACCGUGCGCCCAAACCCUAACAUACUAUCUGUAUUCGGAUCUGAAGGUGUUUUUGAGUCUGUUGCGAGUGUUGUGGCCAUGUCCAUGUUCAAUAGGAUCUUCGGGAAGCCCAAGGAGCAGGCCAACUCCAAUGCUUUGGCCACUCUGGACAAGUUAAAUGAGACACUUGAUAUGCUGGAGAAGAAAGAAAAGGUGCUGGAGAAAAAAGCAAACGCUGAGCUUGAGAGAGCCAAGGAGUUCUCGAAAGCAAAGAAUAAAAGAGCGGCUAUCCAAUCCUUGAAGAGGAAAAAACUUUAUGAGCAACAAAUUGAGCAGCUUGGAAAUUUUCAGUUGAGAAUCCAUGAUCAGAUGAUCAUGUUAGAAGCAGCUAAAGCUACAACAGAGACUGUUGAUGCAUUGAGAACUGGAGCUGCAGCUAUGAAAGCAAUGCAAAAAGCAACAAACAUUGAUGAUGUCGACAAGACCAUGGAUGAAAUUAACGAACAGACUGAAAACAUGAAACAAAUUCAGGAUGCUUUGUCAGCUCCUCUUGGAGCUUUUGCUGAUUUCGACGAGGAUGAACUGGAAGCUGAACUUGAAGAACUGGAGGGAGCAGAGUUGGAAUCUCAGCUUCUUGAGCCUGUUGCAGCUCCUCCGGUGCAUCCAGUGCAUGUCCCAGCCAACAAGCAACCAGCUCGCCCUGCCCCACAGAAAGUUACAGCUGAAGAUGAUGAACUUGCUGCACUGCAAGCGGAAAUGGCAUUGUGAUCAGAAAUUCUCUUGGAACUACACUUAAUUAGUCCAAGUUUAUGGUGUUGGGAGUAGAUGGCUCUGGAAUAAUCUCCAAAUGAUAUUGGUUUCUCGGAACUUGCAGGUUCUCAUGGAGAGGUGAAACAUGUAAAUGAAGAUGAAAGCUGAGUCAGCUAUACUAUAUAUUUGCCAUGCGUGUACAAACUUGGCCGGAUAUUUGGCAACCGCAGCAGAAAAAAGAGGCUGCUCCAGCCCAGUGCUUGUUUCAGUGACUUUGGAAUCUGUUGUCGAUCGAUGACAGUUCUUCUGUUAAUGUCGCUCGGUUAGCUCUACGCUAAUUAUUCAGAUCACCCAACGUGCAUUGUUUCAGUGUUUUGCUUAAUUGGCCCAUACUGUCUGGAGCCGUGCAUGUAAAAGUGUUGCAGGGUUCACGUUUGAUGUGGCUGUUCGCAGCGCUUUCAACCUCAGGCAAGAUAUGUUUCCUUUUAUCAGUACUAGAGCAAGACUAAUAAUACAGUAGGCUACUGGCUAAGGAUCUUUGUAGUCUCUCUCAACUUACUCGUAUAGCAGUUAGCUAUUCACUGUUAAUAUAUGGUCUAUUUGUCUCUUAUAAAGUUUUUACUUAUUUAUUUUACAUGUAAGUCUACAACUUUUUUUUUA